rnacentral:rRNA from 1 species
GUGGGGAAUAUUGGACAAUGGGCGAAAGCCUGAUCCAGCAAUGCCGCGUGAGUGAUGAAGGCCUUAGGGUUGUAAAGCUCUUUUACCCGGGAUGAUAAUGACAGUACCGGGAGAAUAAGCUCCGGCUAACUCCGUGCCAGCAGCCGCGGUAAUACGGAGGGAGCUAGCGUUGUUCGGAAUUACUGGGCGUAAAGCGCACGUAGGCGGCUUUGUAAGUUAGAGGUGAAAGCCUGGAGCUUAACUCCAGAACUGCCUUUAAGACUGCAUCGCUUGAAUCCAGGAGAGGUGAGUGGAAUUCCGAGUGUAGAGGUGAAAUUCGUAGAUAUUCGGAGGAACACCAGUGGCGAAGGCGGCUCACUGGCUCGAUACUGACGCUGAGGUGCGAAAGCGUGGGGAGCAAACAGGAUUAGAAACCCUUGUAGUCC